UACGUAGGUCCCGAGCGUUGUCCGGAUUUAUUGGGCGUAAAGCGAGCGCAGGUGGUUUAUUAAGUCUGGUGUAAAAGGCAGUGGCUCAACCAUUGUAUGCAUUGGAAACUGGUAGACUUGAGUGCGGGAGAGGAGAGUGGAAUUCCAUGUGUAGCGGUGAAAUGCGUAGAUAUAUGGAGGAACACCGGUGGCGAAAGCGGCUCUCUGGCCUGUAACUGACACUGAGGCUCGAAAGCGUGGGGAGCAAACGGG
rnacentral:rRNA from 1 species